rnacentral:rRNA from 1 species
AGUGAACGCUGGCGGUAGGCCUAACACAUGCAAGUCGAACGGCAGCACAGUAAGAGCUUGCUCUUACGGGUGGCGAGUGGCGGACGGGUGAGGAAUACAUCGGAAUCUACUUUUUCGUGGGGGAUAACGUAGAGAAACUUACGCUAAUACCGCAUACGACCUGCGGGUGAAAGCAGGGGAUCUUCGGACCUUGCGCGAUUGAAUGAGCCGAUGUCGGAUUAGCUAGUUGGCGGGGUAAAGGCCCACCAAGGCGACGAUCCGUAGCUGGUCUGAGGGGAUGAUCAGCCACACUGGAACUGAGACACGGUCCAGACUCCUACGGGAGGCAGCAGUGGGGAAUAUUGGACAAUGGGCGCAAGCCUGAUCCAGCCAUACCGCGUGGGUGAAGAAGGCCUUCGGGUUGUAAAGCCCUUUUGUUGGGAAAGACAAGCAGCAGGUUAAUACCCCGCUGUUCUGACGGUACCCAAAGAAUAAGCACCGGCUAACUUCGUG